GACGAACGCUGGCGGCGUGCUUAACACAUGCAAGUCGAACGGUAAGGCCCUUCGGGGUACACGAGUGGCGAACGGGUGAGUAACACGUGGGUGAUCUGCCCCGCACUUCGGGAUAAGCCUGGGAAACUGGGUCUAAUACCGGAUAGGACUCCUGGCUUCAUGGUUGGGGGUGGAAAGCUUUUGCGGUGUGGGAUGGGCCCGCGGCCUAUCAGCUUGUCGGUGGGGUAAUGGCCUACCAAGGCGACGACGGGUAGCCGGCCUGAGAGGGUGACCGGUCACACUGGGACUGAGAUACGGCCCAGACUCCUACGGGAGGCAGCAGUGGGGAAUAUUGCACAAUGGGCGCAAGCCUGAUGCAGCGACGCCGCGUGAGGGAUGACGGCCUUCGGGUUGUAAACCUCUUUCAGCUAUGACGAAGCGCAAGUGACGGUAGUAGCAGAAGAAGGACCGGCCAACUACGUGCCAGCAGCCGCGGUAA
rnacentral:rRNA from 1 species